AUUGAACGCUGGCGGCAUGCCUUACACAUGCAAGUCGAACGGCAGCACGGGAGCUUGCUCCUGGUGGCGAGUGGCGAACGGGUGAGUAAUACAUCGGAACGUACCCGUGAAGUGGGGAGUAACGUAGCGAAAGUUACGCUAAUACCGCAUAUUCUGUGAGCAGGAAAGAGGGGGAUCGCAAGGACCUCUUGCGUUUAGGAGCGGCCGAUGUCGGAUUAGCUAGUUGGUGAGGUAAAGGCUCACCAAGGCGACGAUCCGUAGCGGGUCUGAGAGGAUGAUCCGCCACACUGGGACUGAGACACGGCCCAGACUCCUACGGGAGGCAGCAGUGGGGAAUUUUGGACAAUGGGCGCAAGCCUGAUCCAGCCAUGCCGCGUGAGUGAAGAAGG
rnacentral:rRNA from 1 species